GUGGGGAAUAUUGGACAAUGGGCGAAAGCCUGAUCCAGCCAUGCCGCGUGUGUGAAGAAGGUCUUCGGAUUGUAAAGCACUUUAAGUUGGGAGGAAGGGCAGUAAGUUAAUACCUUGCUGUUUUGACGUUACCGACAGAAUAAGCACCGGCUAACUUCGUGCCAGCAGCCGCGGUAAUACGAAGGGUGCAAGCGUUAAUCGGAAUUACUGGGAGUAAAGCGCGCGUAGGUGGUUCAGUAAGUUGGAAGUGAAAUCCCCGGGCUCAACCUGGGAACUGCCUCCAAAACUACUGAGCUAGAGUACGGUAGAGGGUAGUGGAAUUUCCUGUGUAGCGGUGAAAUGCGUAGAUAUAGGAAGGAACACCAGUGGCGAAGGCGACUACCUGGACUGAUACUGACACUGAGGUGCGAAAGCGUGGGGAGCAAACAGGAUUAGAAACCCUGGUAGUCC
rnacentral:rRNA from 1 species